rnacentral:sRNA from 1 species
GCUGGGUGCAGUGGCACAUGCCUGUAAUCCCAGCUCAGGAGGCUGAGGCAGGAGGAUCAUGAGUUCAAAGCCAGCCUCAGCAAAAGCGAGGCGCUAAGCAACUCAGUGAUACCCUGUCUCUA